UACGUAGGAGGCAAACGUUGUCCGGAUUUACUGGGUGUAAAGGGUGCUCAGGCGGUCUCGUAAGUCAGGGGUGAAAUCCCGGAGCUUAACUCCGGAACUGCCUUUGAUACUGCGGGGCUCGAGUGCAGAAGAGGCGGAUAGAAUUUCUGGUGUAGCAGUGAAACGCGUGGAUAUCAGAAAGAAUACCAGUGGCGAAGGCGGUCCGCUGGUCUGUCACUGACGCUAAAGCACGAAAGCGUGGGGAGCAAACAGG
rnacentral:rRNA from 1 species